rnacentral:tRNA from 1 species
AGGGUAGUAGUUAACUUUAACAUUUAAUUUGCAUUUAAAAAAUAUUGAUAUAUUCAAUCUUCCUUA